GGGAGCGGGGCCGGCGGCGGGGCGGCUCGGGGGAAACCUGCCGGGGCUGGACAUCUCCGCGGGGAGGGAGCGGCGCGUACCGAGUACCAGCGCCGGUGGCUGCCUCCCCUCGCUCUAAGGUUGGCGUUACGUGCGGGUCUCCCACCGCCAGGUGCUGGAGCUGGAUGGUUGUCGUGACUGACACAGCUGACGCUGCCCCAGCCCUGGAGGUUAAAUGCUGAGCCCGGCUGUGUGUGAGGGCCCGCUUCGUUCCUGCACCGGCUCCCUCGGGAGCAGAUGUGGCGGGGCAGACACUCCAGGGAUGUUGUUGGCACACGGAGCCAGCCCCGCCCGCAGCGACACACGCAGCGCUCAGGCAAGAGCAGAUCCAGAACAAAACCCUCAUGUUGACUGGCAGCACACUGGAAAUCUAGAAGGGACUCAGUGGCCUCUAAAGGAAAUAUAGUUUUAAAUCCUGCCCUGCCUCCCUCUGAAACCUGCAGUGACUUUACUUUGAACUGCAAGGGAGUGAUAUCGAUUCUCAGCUGAUGUCACAGUGCCAAUAAACACGGUCCAUUCAGAGGAAGGGAAAGAAAGCCUGUCUUGACACUGCAAGACCUGUGUGUGCUCAACCAGACAAAGAGAAAAUAUUAGCUUCUGAGGAUCCAUCCUUUCAUUGCAGUUCUUCAAAGAACUGUGGAUCUGAGAUGCCCUUCAUGAAUUUGCUUAUAUCAUGAGCAAAGAAACAGGAGAAGAGCCAUGCUUGUUUUUUCUCACAUUGAAGCCAAGAAAAAAACAAACUGAUUGAAGAAAAACUGAUGGUAUUUUUCU